rnacentral:rRNA from 1 species
AGUGAACGCUGGCGGUAGGCCUAACACAUGCAAGUCGAACGGCAGCACAGUAAGAGCUUGCUCUUACGGGUGGCGAGUGGCGGACGGGUGAGGAAUACAUCGGAAUCUACUUUUUCGUGGGGGAUAACGUAGGGAAACUUACGCUAAUACCGCAUACGACCUACGGGUGAAAGCAGGGGAUCUUCGGACCUUGCGCGAUUGAAUGAGCCGAUGUCGGAUUAGCUAGUUGGCGGGGUAAAGGCCCACCAAGGCGACGAUCCGUAGCUGGUCUGAGAGGAUGAUCAGCCACACUGGAACUGAGACACGGUCCAGACUCCUACGGGAGGCAGCAGUGGGGAAUAUUGGACAAUGGGCGCAAGCCUGAUCCAGCCAUACCACGUGGGUGAAGAAGGCCUUCGGGUUGUAAAGCCCUUUUGUUGGGAAAGAAAGGCAGCAGGUUAAUACCCCGCUGUUCUGACGGUACCCAAAGAAUAAGCACCGGCUAACUUCGUG